AUAUUGCGAUCGGCAUUGCAAGUCAACGCACUUUUCCUUGACGAGAGAAAAUUGACUUUUUGCUAUACAGAGUAGUGUUUCGCGGAUCGAGGAGCCUGUUGAUAAGGUGCGUAGACAAGGGAUUUUUUAAACUUGAAAUAUAAGUAAAUCCAAGUUGGGUAAGUUCUGGGGUUCGAUUUCGUUGACUAAUUGUCUUGGGUAUCGAUUUUCGUAAAUGUUGAUGCAUAUGUUAAAAACAAAAGCAAAGAAAUUUUUUAAUACUUUCGUCGAUUGCGAGAAAUCGUUCAUUACUUUUCAAAAGCGAAAAGACUGCCAUUUCAAUAAAAUAUAAAUCGGUCAAAAUACAUAGCCUGAAUAAACGCGUAUAGGGAAUUCACGCAGUUGAAGCCGAUCGUCAUUUGUUAAACAUUGACAGUAUUUACAAAAGCACAUCGCGUGAAUUUUAAUCAAAUUUUAUAUCGAACUAUUUUUAUCAUUUUACGUGGAGCGUUUUGCGUAACGCAUGAGAAAUUUUAGAAAAAUAUAUUUGAUUUAAAAGAAAAAGUAUUAGGUUUUUAAAAACGAAGCUUUAAAUCUGUAAGGUUAAGUGAAACUCUACCUACAUUAUCAGAUUUAGUGUUUACUUAAAAAAUUUGUUACUCGCAUACAUCGCAAUAAAUAUCACUGCGCCGAAAAGCCAUUCGCAUAACGCUUUCAAUUUCCUUAAAUCUUUUCCAACGUCUCGACUCUUCCUUUUCUCAUCCUUUCCUAUCCUCUCACUGUUAUUCUCACUGUUAGGAGAGAGAUGGAAAAUUUAGAAGUGGACUUAACGUCGAACUCAAAAUGCUCUGCGACAGAAAGGCCGGAUGAUCCAAACGCAGUCGUGGCAAAGACUGUCGGUGAAGUGAAGGCACUACCAGAGAUCAUCCGAACUUUGGAACUUCGAUCCAGGCAGCCGGGCGUACCGAUCAGCGUAUUCCCGACGGAAGAAAAACCAACAUUCGAUCUAUUAGCGACGAGCAUCAAGUCAAACGCCGAUCAAACGAAACCUUUCCACCCUGAUAAUUCCCAGACUUCCGGAAACACCUAUUUCCUGCGUGGACUUCCUAAGCCUAAUUCCAAUUCCGAGGAGGGCAACGAGGAGCUAGUAUCCGACCUUAACUUCUAUAAGCGAAUCCCUAACGGUAGCUACUCUUGCGAACUGUGCACCGAAAAAAGGAUUGAAAAUAUAUGCAAAGACAAGACCCGGAUCGUCCGUCACCUUCUUCGUGCUCACACACACUGCCAGACCUACGAGUGUCCCUGCUGUCAGCUGACUUUCGACGAUCACUCAGAUUUUGAGAAUCACAAGCAAGAAGAGCACCGCAAUUUCGAGAAAUUCAAGGCGAAGUACAUCCAAUGCGACAGGUGCGAGCACAGGAGUAAGAACAAGAACCUGCUAAGGCUGCACUUGCUGAGGAGACACGCUGCUCAGUACAAAUACGUCUGCAAAUGCUGUGCGAAGUGCUUCAAAACCUGGAAGAUCAAGCACGAUCAUGAGAAAGCUAUUGAGCAGAAGAAGAAGGGGACGGCGAAGAAAGGCUACAGGCGAGAGUACGUCUGCGAAAAAUGCAACAAGGUCCUGUCGCCAAAGUCCGAGCUCGUUAAACAUAUGAAGAACGUCCACGUGCAGGACUUUAAAAUGAACAGGCUCAUGUACGAGUGCGCGCACUGUAAUAAGUACUUCCUGACACGCAAAUCGCUGCUGAAACACUUGCCGAUUUGUCACAAACCUUUAGAAAACGAUCUGACGGGUUAUUCUUGUCCCAAUUGCGACAAGCGGCUUUCGAGCAAGGAUCACUUGAAGAAACACGCUCUUGUUCACAGCGGUGAACGGCCGCAUCUUUGCCCAGAAUGCGGUCAAGCUUUUGCUCUGCUCAAUACUAUGAAGGUCCACGCGUUAUCGCAUUAUAAUAUCAAACCGUAUGCCUGUUAUAUCUGCUGUCUUAGCUACUCGCAGAGAUCGGCCCUGAUGACGCACUGGAAGAGCAAGCACAAGAAUCUACCGGCACCUGAACCGGUUGAGAUUCAUCAGUUCUUCGAUCACGAGGGAAAAGUUUUCAUUCCCUGUAUGUUGAAACGCUGUUAGUUAAUCUUUGAUAUUUUUAGAGAUUAACUGAUUUGGAAAUUGUCUGUUUCAGGAAAGGACAUUCUCGCUGGAAUCGCAAACAAAGCAUCAUCUCCAGGGUACGCGAACAAUCAGCUAACAAACUUGACAAGUCAAGAUGUCUAUCGACACCAGCC